rnacentral:rRNA from 1 species
GUGAGUCAUCGAAUCUUUGAACGCACCUUGCGCUCUCUGGUAUUCCGGAGAGCAUGCCUGUUUGAGUGUCAUGAACUCUUCAACCCACCGGUUCCUUGUUGAACCGAGUUGGUGUUUGGUUUUUGAGCGUUUUUGCUUUGUUUUCGGAUCACAGCUCGUCUCGUAAUACAUUAGCAUCUCGAUUUCGAAAUUUCGGAUUGACUUCAGCGUUAAUAGAUCUAUUCGCUGAGGACACCUUUAUCGGGUGGCCGAAAUUAUGAUAACAGGUAGACGCUUCCAAUCCUACUAGUCAAUUUUAUGAUUAGACCUCAGAUUCAGGCAGGAUUACCCGCUGAACUUAAGCAUAUCAAUAAGGCGAGG